rnacentral:rRNA from 1 species
ACGCUCGACACCUACGGGAGGCCGCAGUCGGGAAUAUUGCGCAAUGGAGGAAACUCUGACGCAGUGACGCCGCGUGCAGGAAGAAGGUUUUCGGAUUGUAAACUGCUUUAGACAGGGAAGAAAGAAAUGACAGUACCUGUAGAAUAAGCUCCGGCUAACUACGUGCCAACAGCCGCGGUAAUCUGAGCGGGCUGGCAAGGC